rnacentral:misc_RNA from 1 species
UAAGCUCCAUUCUCUAAUCUUCCCUUGUAAAUUUUUCCAACUGAACCUUCACCAAGUAAUGCUGACUGAUCAAAAUUUUCUGUUGCUUCUAGCAAUUCUUCCAUGGAGAACACUCGAUAUGAUGGGGCACCUUGUGAUCCUGUGUUUGCCACUUGAGAAAUGACUCUGGCAUUUACUAGGAGUCCAGAGGGAACCGGCUGUGUACUUUGCACAACUUUCGGAGGGAUGUGCUUAUCCACCAUGUUAUGCGCAUGUCGUUUUCUACGGAAGAUGAGAAGCACAACUAACAGAAACACCACAACAAUUACAAUCCCCCCAAUGACACCUGUUAAUAAUGCUAUUUCUUUUCCUGUAAUUCGUUUCUUAUCCGAGUUUGCUUGUUUGCAAUAGCCCUCUGAAUG